CUUGGUCAUUUAGAGGAAGUAAAAGUCGUAACAAGGUUUCUGUAGGUGAACCUGCAGAAGGAUCAUUGAAAAAUCAAUGGGGAAAAGGCAGCCCGCGCAAGGGGUAGCCUUUUUCCUUUAUCCACACGCCUUUACACACCUGUGCACACACAAAAAACCAUUUCACACGCUUAGAAAAUAGAGAAUGUCACAAAAAUCCUUCCUAGGAAGGUGAAAGUUAAAUACAACUUUCGGCAACGGAUCUCUAGGUUCUCCUAUCGAUGAAGAACGCAGCGAAUUGCGAUAAGUAAUUGUGAAUUGCAGACAUCAGUGAAUCAUCGAAUCUUUGAACGCAUCUUGCGCCCUUUGGUAUUCCUUAGGGCAUGCCUGUUUGAGUGUCACGAGCAACCUUUGAACCUCGGAUUUUUUCAUGAAAGUCUGUUUGGGUUCAGUCUUGAGCGCUUGCCUGUUUUUUCAGGCUCGCUCUAAAUGCAUUAGCUGGCAUUUCGCUCCUGUCAUCCGGACCUGGUUUUAAAAAGGCCUGGUUCUCGGAUGGUUGGUUCGGCGUGAUAAUUUACAUCUGCUGGAUCAUUUCAGGGACGGAAUUCUGCUUCCAACCAAGGGAGCCGGUCCUUUUUCGAGGAUCGCGUCUCUGCACUUUUUGACAUCUGGCCUCAGACAGGUAGGACUACCCGCUGAAC
rnacentral:rRNA from 1 species